rnacentral:tRNA from 1 species
UCCCUGAUAGCUCAGUUGGUAAAGAAUCUGUCUGCAAUGCAGGAGACCCAGGUUUGAUUCCUGGGUCGGGAA